rnacentral:rRNA from 1 species
GACGAACGCUGGCGGCGUGCUUAACACAUGCCAGUCGAACGGAAAGGCCCUGCUUUUGUGGGGUGCUCGAGUGGCGAACGGGUGAGUAACACGUGAGUAACCUGCCCUUGACUUUGGGAUAACUUCAGGAAACUGGGGCUAAUACCGUAUAGGAGCUCCCGUUGCAGGGUGGGGGUUGGAAAGUUUCGGCGGUUGGGGAUGGACUCGCGGCUUACCAGCUUGUUGGUGGGGUAGUGGCUUACCAAGGCUUUGCCGGGUCCCCGGCCGGAGAGGGUGACCGGCCACAUUGGGACUGAGAUACGGCCCAGACUCCUACGGGAGGCAGCGGUGGGGAAUAUUGCACAAUGGGCGGAAGCCUGAUGCGGCAACGCCGCGUGCGGGAUGACGGCCUUCGGGUUGUAAACCGCUUUCGCCUGUGACGAAGCGUGAGUGACGGUAAUGGGUAAAGAAGCACCGGCUAACUACGUG